GAAAUGCGAUAAGUAGUGUGAAUUGCAGAAUUCAGUGAAUCAUCGAAUCUUUGAACGCACAUUGCGCCCCUUGGUAUUCCAUGGGGCAUGCCUGUUCGAGCGUCAUUUGUACCCUCAAGCUCUGCUUGGUGUUGGGUGUUUAUCCCCGUCUCCGCGCGUGGACUCGCCCCAAAGUGAUUGGCAGCCGGCGUACUGGUCCCGGAGCGCAGCACAUGUCGCGCAAACGAGUGCCUUGGUACGGCGGCGUCCAUAAGCCCCUCUCUCACGCUCUUGACCUCGGAUCAGGUAGGGAUACCCGCUGAACUUAAGC
rnacentral:misc_RNA from 1 species